GAACUGAAUUGAGGGGCCCUCGACCGUCCCUGCGGAGGACCCCCCGGCUACCUCCGGGCCCACAGCCAUGGAAAUACGGAGGGUGCAAGCGUUGUUCGGAAUUACUGGGCGUAAAGGGCGGGAAGGCGGUUUUUCAAGUCAGAUGUUAAAGCCCACGGCUCAACCGUGGAAUGGCAUUUGAAAUUGCGGAAUUUGAGUGGGGGAGAGGAAAGUGGAAUUCCUGGGGAGGGACUCAAGUGCGUAAAUAUCGGGAGGAACCCCGGUGGCGAAGGCGGCUUCCUGGAUGUGCGCUGACACUAAGGUGCGAAACCCGGGGGGCCACCCUGAUUAAAUACCCUGGUAGUCCACGCCGUAAACGAUGU
rnacentral:rRNA from 1 species